rnacentral:lncRNA from 1 species
AAAAGUUGCUGCUGCCCUUUGCGGGAUUCUCAAAUGCUGUCAUCAGCAAUGGUUCCGUAAAGAUGUUUUUUACUCUGGUGAAGAAAGCAUUCUUCAGUGGCAAUAUUCCGUUCCCAAGGAGACUCACUGCCGAAGCAACAGCACUCGGGCUGGACAUCUUUGCUGUGUAUGGUCAAAAUGAGCAUGUUCAAUAUCCUGGAGUAUGUCCAAAGCAAGCCACUUUCCUCUAGGGAAAGAGCCCAACGGACUUUGGCGCCCAUGCACCCACUUGACUCACAUUACUCAACUAGAGGCCCUGGAGACGUGAGUGGGUGCUUCUGGUCUGCAGGAUCAGGCACCACUCAAGCAGAGUCUUCCCAUAGGUCUGCUCGCUGGAGGAGCCUUUGGUAUAACUUCUUGACUUGCUAUUCCCGCUGCAUUUCACACUUGUCUGGACAAGACACUUGUAAGAUUUAAAUGAGGAAACUGCAGAGUCCAACAAACAUCUAGCAAACAAUGCUCUCAUGAGCAGGCAUUGUGAAUCAUGUGUCAUUUUUCUCAAAACUCAAUAAAUU